CCUGUUUCUGAGUGCGGACUCCAGAUGGCUGCAUUUCUGAACUUUCGCGAGAAAGUCAGUCAGUUAAUGGAGGAAGCAUUUGUGGUCAGGGGAGGGGAAGGAUGCGGUCCAGGGCAGGUGCCGAGAUCGGAACUUUCAGGUGGUUAGAGGCCCCUGGGGCAGAGGUCUGUCUCUGUCGCAGGGAGUUCGAGUCUCCGUCUAGUUGUCAGGCCCUGAGCACGAGAUUCCGUGUCUCUGUCAGGUACCCUGGCACUUUUGGGACAGGGUUCGAGUCCCUGUCUAGUGUGGGGAAAGGGGUUUUUUCAGUCCCCUUUUUGGGAAGAUAUUGCACCCCUAGGAAAGACUGGGGGACGCCCCAUGAUCUCUAGGUGAUUUUUAGACACACUGAGGUUUUUUUUGCCACACGGAGGGAUCGGGUGGCCAGCCGCCGGCUGCUUGCCCCUGACAGAUAGCCGGAGAUAGCCGAAGGACUCCGGAGGCAGCCCAAGGACUCCAGAGGCAGCUGAUGAGUAAUUGCGGGUAUCAGGUUUCUUUCUUUACUGUGAAGGAAGCCGAAGCAGUGGGAAAAAAAAAAAGCCGAAGGUCAGGCUGCCUUGGGCAGUGGUUAACCCUUUCCUUGCAACUUCUUGGUCUCAAUAAUAGAAAACCAGUCUGUUUGUCAAACAGCUUGCUUAAGUGUUUUAUGGUCUUUACAAGUACAUGCCAAGAAAUGAGAUCUUAAGAUAAGCUCCUAGGAUCGGAGCAGUUUACGUGUCUGUGUCUCUUAUUUGUCUUCUGGCUUUUGCUGUUUGUCUCGUGGGUCUUUCUGUAUUUAGACGCAGUACCCUUCUCUCUUAGGGGCUGACUUCCCCUUGUGACCGGUCUGCCAAUCGAGGGAAGGAGUGACAGGACACCCUUCAGAUCUCCAGGCAGUUCUCCACCGACCUGGGACCCUGGAAUCCACUGAGGACGCGCCCCUAAAGACACUGUCUGCAGCCUUCACUCCCCCUCGUAUUACCUUCCCUCUCUCUCCUACACAUAGGUAGGGACAGCUCUAUACCCAUGCUCAGCACUGAAGAAACUACAGAAGAUCUGGACCUCCGCCCUUUUCCCCUUAGACAUUUGGAGAGGGGAGGGGAUGGGAUGGCAGGCGGCACUGAACCAGGUGGGGCCUGAGACUCUGGCCCUCCGGGAGGCUGUGUGGUUCCCCUAUGGAUGGCUGGGCUGGCCAGAUUGCACGACUCACCAGAAGCAGUGGGGAGACAGCUAGCAAAAGGAAUACAUGACCCACUCGCUUCCAUUACUUCACUUUCUCCCCCGCCUCUUGGUUUCCCCCUCCCUUGUCACAGAGUAUCCCUCAACUGGGAAAUACCUUAUCCCCCCCGCAGGAGCGCACUGGCUGUGCCCCCCUUCUGGCCUACAGCCCUGUGUCUCCCCUAGCUUCCUCACUGCCCGCUGCACCCCAUCACAAUAGUGCCCAAAGUGACCUGCUAUGCCAAGCAGGACCCCCUCUUCCUUAAGGAGAGGGCCUCUGUGCAGCCUUGGGUGAGGAGUGCUGCUUCUAUGUUAACCACUCAGGGAUUAUUAGGGACUCCCUGAGCAAGCUACGAGAAGGUCUAGAAGCCCUGACGGAAGGAGGGGGAAACUGCCGGCCCCUGAUACGCGACCUUUUCUCCCUAGUCACGUCCCUCAUAGGACCCCUCAUAAUCUUAACCCUACUUUUGACAUUUGGCCCCUGUAUCUUUAACCGCCUUGUUCGGUUCAUAAAAGACUGACUAGAUGCCAUCCAGGUGCUGGCCGUUCGACAACAGUACAGACCCCUAGCCGAGAGCCACUAGCUGCCCCAGUGGGUGGGCCUAACCACUGCCCCCUAAAAGAAAAAGGAGUUGGGAAUGAGGGAGGCCGGAAAAUGGUCAAACUUGAGGGCCUAACAAGCUGACCUGUCAGAAUCAUAAAUAUACCAAAUCCUAGCAGGAAGGCCUAAUGAGCUGGUCAGCCUUGAGAAACUUGUCAGAACCAUAAAUAUGCCAAACCGCCAGCUGCAGUAGAUACCAGAUAAAGUCCAGGAAGACCCCAACAAAUAUGUCAAACAACAGGUCAGGGGGACCCCAACAAUAUAGAAUUGUCAAAGCUCCAAGAAUAGUAGGAAGCAGAUAAGGGCCAUACGUGCAGGCAAAAUUCCAAGGAUGGUAAGGUACCUACAGAAAAGUAUAAAAAGCCCAGCCUGUCAGAAGCAACUCGGAACUCUGAUGAUAGAGGUUCCCACUGAUGCGCGUAUCAGUUCAAUAAAUGGCCUUUCUCUGCCA